rnacentral:rRNA from 1 species
AUGUCAAAAAGAAAAGCGGAAGAUUACUGGGCUGUAGUACCAACGCCGCCUAAUGGGCAUGAACACAUUUCCGACUCCUGUCCCGGCUUAUUGAUUCGAUUCCCCAAUCGAAUCGCCGCCCCCCUCAAACCCUAUCUUAGCUUCUGCCGCCGGCGACGUCGAUCGCCGUUGAUCAUCUCACGCCUUCUUCUUCUUCCUGGUGGCAAGAUGUUGGGCGAGACCCAGCUGCCCGUGACGGCGCUGAUCGGUCGGAAGCGGCGCUGGGACAAGGACGACGCCGCCGCCAGCUACGAAGAAGCCAGCGAUGGUACCCCGAAGGAGCAAGCCCCUAUGGAGAUCGCGGCCAGCCCAACAACCCGCGACGAGGAGAAGCAGGAGAACGAGGAUAUGGGUCUUCCGGCCUGCAAGAUGGGUGAGCAACCCCUUACGGAAAUUGGAAGUUCGAACGUCUCGAUUGUGGAGGAGAAGGAAGUGACCGAGGAGCUUGAGAUUCCAAUGUGGGACAGCGAUGAUGAUGAUGGUGAGUUUAUGCUCAAGGCAAAGGCAGAGCUCGAGGAGCUUCACAUUGCCUGUGUCAAAAGCAUCUCCGAAUUGGAUCCUAAGUCGAAACUCUUGGUCCCUACCCGCUUCUGCAGCUUCAAUAUAGUCGGCUUCGACCUCGAUAAAGAGUCUAAGUUUGGCCUUGGGCCGCCACUUGAUAGCAAUAUAACUCCUGAGUUGGAGAAGUACAUGGUGACGUCAGCCGUCAACGUCAUUUCCGUCAAAGUAAUUGAAUCUGACCGGGGUUAUCCAAUCAGCAUAUAUGGUACUGUUCUUGCAAGGGAUAGGAUUGACUACAGAUGUAUCUACCUGUUCAGACGUGGAAGGGAAGACCCCCAGAUGAUCAGCUCCAAGGAUGAUAUGCUAACAUUGACAGGUCCACGACGGGCAUUAGUUCCGCUGGAUAAUAUUUACUUUGAGUUCAAUCUGAGGGUGAAGGGUGAUGCCGGCGACGAAGAUUUUAGCAAAGGUGUAAUACAGCUCCAUGUCGUUCCCUAUGACAAUGAACCAAUCACAAGGGUGCUUAGUAGUUGGCUGAGCAGAGUGGAGUUGGUGCUCGCACCUGUUGAUGGUCCAGUGGCAGCUAGCCUUGAAGUCAAGAUUUUGAAAGGAGCACCACCUUUGACUGGCAAAAUAUGUGCUGGGACUAGUGAAAAUCCUGAGACUCAGAUGAUUGUGUAUGAUAGUAGAGAUAUGAAGAGCGGUUCCUCUGUUGUGUUAAGUCGCAACUUGGUAGCUGUCCCUGACCCGGAUGAAGAAGACGAUGAAAUUAUUGUCCAUGUUCGCUUCCUUAAUGAUGGCGAUGACGAGGAUGCAGGCACCUUGGUCAGCGUAGCAUACCCUGCUGAAGAGCAAGUCUGCAGUCACGGCGCCUGGGAGCUGCAAGUGAACGUUGCCUGGACUGCCAUCCUGUCCAAGCCGAGGGCAAAAUAUAUCAUGAGAAGAGGGAGGAGUACGCCCAGAGCUUUUACUUGCCCUCAGUAUGAGCCUCUCUUCUGA